UUUUUGGAAGGUGUAAAAAAGGAACAAGGUCUCCGGCUUGGUGAACCAGCGGAGGGAUCAUUACCGAGUUUACAACUCCCAAACCCAAUGUGAACGUUACCAAACUGUUGCCUCGGCGGGAUCUCUGCCCCGGGUGCGUCGCAGCCCCGGACCAAGGCGCCCGCCGGAGGACCAACCAAAACUCUUUUUGUAUACCCCCUCGCGGGUUUUUUAUAAUCUGAGCCUUCUCGGCGCCUCUCGUAGGCGUUUCGAAAAUGAAUCAAAACUUUCAACAACGGAUCUCUUGGUUCUGGCAUCGAUGAAGAACGCAGCGAAAUGCGAUAAGUAAUGUGAAUUGCAGAAUUCAGUGAAUCAUCGAAUCUUUGAACGCACAUUGCGCCCGCCAGUAUUCUGGCGGGCAUGCCUGUCCGAGCGUCAUUUCAACCCUCGAACCCCUCCGGGGGGUCGGCGUUGGGGAUCGGCCCUGCCUCUUGGCGGCGGCCGUCUCCGAAAUACAGUGGCGGUCUCGCCGCAGCCUCUCCUGCGCAGUAGUUUGCACACUCGCAUCGGGAGCGCGGCGCGUCCACAGCCGUUAAACACCCAACUUCUGAAAUGUUGACCUCGGAUCAGUAGUAUGCGAAUACCCGCUGAACUUAAGCAUUCAUAAAGGGGGAAGGAAAA
rnacentral:rRNA from 1 species